AACGAACGCUGGCGGCAGGCUUAACACAUGCAAGUCGAACGCCCCGCAAGGGGAGUGGCAGACGGGUGAGUAACGCGUGGGAAUCUACCCAGAUCUUCGGAACAACUGAGGGAAACUUCAGCUAAUACCGGAUACGCCCUACGGGGGAAAGAUUUAUCGGUUCUGGAUGAGCCCGCGUUGGAUUAGCUAGUUGGUGGGGUAAUGGCCUACCAAGGCGACGAUCCCAUAGCUGGUCUGAGAGGAUGAUCAGCCACACUGGGACUGAGACACGGCCCAGACUCCUACGGGAGGCAGCAGUGGGGAAUAUUGGACAAUGGGCGAAAGCCUGAUCCAGCCAUGCCGCGUGAGUGAUGAAGGCCUUAGGGUGUAAAGCUCUUUCAGUGGGGAAGAUAAUGACGGUACCCACAGAAGAAGCCCCGGCUAAACUUCGUUGCCAGCAGCCGACGGUAAACACGAGAGUA
rnacentral:rRNA from 1 species